UACGGGGGGGGCAAGCGUUGUUCGGAAUUACUGGGCGUAAAGGGCUCGUAGGUGGCCAACUAAGUCAGACGUGAAAUCCCUCGGCUUAACCAAGGAAGUGCACCCGAAACUGGAUAGCUUGAGUACAGAAGAGGAUCGCGGAAUUCCCGGUGUAGAGGUGAAAUUCGUAGAUAUCGGGAGGAACACCAGUGGCGAAGGCGGCGAUCUGGGCUGAUACUGACGCUGAGGUGCGAAAGCGUGGGGAGCAAACAGG
rnacentral:rRNA from 1 species